GAUGAAGAACGUAGCGAAAUGCGAUAAGUAAUGUGAAUUGCAGAAUUCCGUGAAUCAUCGAAUCUUUGAACGCACAUUGCGCCCCCUGGUAUUCCGGGCGGCAUGCCUGUCCGAGCGUCAUUGCAACCUUCAAGCGCGGCUUGUGUGUUGGGUCUCGUCCCCCGUGGACGGGCCCGAAAGGCAGUGGCGGCGUCCCGACAUGGUGCCCGAGCGUAUGGGAAUCCUCUUCCGCUCGAAUCGGCCCAUGCGGCGCUGGUCGUAACCAAAUUUUUUACCGGUUGACCUCGGAUCAGGUAGGGAUACCCGCUGAACUUAAGCAUAUCAAUAAGCGGAGGA
rnacentral:misc_RNA from 1 species